rnacentral:misc_RNA from 1 species
AAGUCGUAACAAGGUCUCCGUUGGUGAACCAGCGGAGGGAUCAUUACUGAGUUAUCUAAACUCCAAACCCAUGUGAACUUACCAAUGUUGCCUCGGCGGUAGACGUCUCUGGGGUUUACUCGGUGAGCCAGCUUACCCUGUACUUACCCUGGAGCGCCUACCCUGUACCUACCCUGUAGUGCAGGAACCGCCAGAGGACCAAACCAAACUCUUGUUUUUAUGGCACUCUGAGUACUAUUAUAAAUAAGUUAAAACUUUCAACAACGGAUCUCUUGGUUCUG